UACGGAAGGCAGCAGUAGGGAAUCUUCGGCAAUGGGGGAACCCUGACCGAGCAACGCCGCGUGAGUGAAGAAGGUUUUCGGAUCGUAAAGCUCUGUUGUAAGAGAAGAACGUGUGUGAGAGUGGAAAGUUCACACAGUGACGGUAACUUACCAGAAAGGGACGGCUAACUACGUGCCAGCAGCCGCGGUAAUACGUAGGUCCCGAGCGUUGUCCGGAUUUAUUGGGCGUAAAGCGAGCGCAGGCGGUUUGAUAAGUCUGAAGUAAAAGGCUGUGGCUUAACCAUAGUAUGCUUUUGGAAACUGUCAAACUUGAGUGCAGAAGGGGAGAGUGGAAUUCCAUGUGUAGCGGUGAAAUGCGUAGAUAUAUGGAGGAACACCGGUGGCGAAAGCGGCUCUCUGGUCUGUAACUGACGCUGAGGCUCGAAAGCGUGGGGAGCAAAC
rnacentral:rRNA from 1 species